rnacentral:rRNA from 1 species
AUUGAACGCUGGCGGCAGGCCUAACACAUGCAAGUCGAGCGAGCGGCGGACGGGUGAGUAAUGUAUGGGGAACUGCCUGAUAGAGGGGGAUAAAUACUGGAAACGGUGGAUACUACCGCAUACCAUAGGGUGUACCCAGAUGGGAUGAUCUAGUAGGUGGGGUAAAGGAUCACAUAGGCGACGAUCCCUAGCUGGUCUGAGAGGCUGAUCAGCCACACGGGGACUGAGACACGGCCCAGACUCCGACGGUAGGCAGCAGUGGGGAAUAUUGGACAAUGGGCGCAAGCCUGAUGCAGCCAUGCCGCGUGUGUGAAGAAGGCCUUAGGGGUGUAAAGUACUUUCAGCGGGGAGGCGUUACCCGCAGAAGAAGCACCGGCUAACUCCGUGCCAGCCGCCGCGGUAAUAC